UGUAACCCCAAUAACUUUAUUACAAAAAGUAUUAUAAUUUUUUGUAUUCUCAUUUUUAUCAUUUUACUUAAUUUAAGUGUUCUUAUUCGUUAUUAUGUGUUGUAUUUUGCAUUAUUUUUUUUAAUCACAAUAGACUAUAUUAAACUAUAUUUUAGUAAAAAAAUUUAUCCUUCAUAUACAGUAAUAAAAAUUUUUAAUAAUACAAGUCAAUCCAUACUACAUAAAAUUAAGUCAGCACCUAUUUGGAGAUGAUAAAUUAUUAUUUAUAACAACAAAUUAAAGGAGAGAAAGCAGGUGUUUGUGACAUUGAAAAACUACAUGAUAAACCAUACAAAACGUAGAAAAAAUUAUUGGCCUAAUCUAAAAAUAUAGCAGUGAACGACACAUGAUUACUAAAAAAAUCACUAGCCUAAAGGUCGAGUAGAGCAAAAAAUAGACAUAAAUCUAACUAUGCAUGCAAUAUAAAGGAAAAGACAGACGGUGGAAAUUUAUAUCUAAAAUUAAAAUCUCCCACCAAACGCACCUUUCUUGGUCUAUAAGUGCAGCCAAAAUGUUUGACAAAGGACAUUUGGCCAUUCUCUUAUUGUUUCGAGAAAACCAGAACCCUGAUUUACUAAAUUCAAGGAACACAAAUCUAAUAAGAGCGUUGGAGUACCUUCUUCGCUACGCAUUAGAGUCAAGUUUAUGGAGAACCAUCAGAACAAGAAAUAACUUUACCUACAAAGAACGAUUAGGUAUAAUUUGAACACUUAGUUUAUUUAAAUUAUAAACUAGACUAUUGAUCAAUUUUUUAUCGGACUAUUGAAGGAUGUUUUAUUUUGCAUUUCGCCAAGCAAAUGCCGGAAACUUUCAGCUGAAUUCAGGAAUGCUACCCAAGAGAACAUCUAUUUCUCCAACUAGGCCGAGUGCACGAGAUUUAAAUUUCGGGACAUUAAGUAAUCCUCCGAGGCCUCCCGGUUCACAAGGUCCUCCUUCACAGAUCAAUCCGCCAUCCAAAGGUCUUUCUUCUAGAGAUUUGAAUUUCGGAAUACUAAGUAAAUCUCCGAGAUUACUCGGUUCACAAAGGCCCCGUCCACAGAUCAAUCUGCCACCGCCAGAAGACCUUUCUUCAUUUUCUAGAGAUUUGAAUUUCGAGACACUAAGUAAUCCUCCAAGACCUGUCGGUUAACAAAGGAUCCAGUCCACAGAUCAAUCUGCCACCGCCUAAAGAACGCUCUUCGUUUUCUAGAUAAUAGGAUUCAAGUAAUAAGGGCGUGCCUAUUCUUCCAUCCGGCCCAUAAACACCCACUAUUUAGCAUGAAAUUAAAAUGGCUAUGUUUCACUCACUACCAUCAUGCGGCAUUUAGAAAACGGUAGUGCGAAAUAGUAAUCUUGAAUAAUAAAUGGGCCAUUGAGGGUGUUAAGGCACAGUUUACAAGUCUAUUUUGGUCAUAGAUACGAUGCCCUGUGGUUUUCAAGUUUUUGAUUUUAAAGUGAUCAGUAAAAAGAACUUCGGAUGAAAUUAAAGCCAUGCAUGCACCUACCCUCCAAACAUCACAACUUUCACUGAAUCAAAGAAAAAUAGAACUAGAGAACGCAUCUGUUGUAUUGCUGCCAUAAAUAGGCAAUGUCAUCUCACAUUCAAGACCAUAUUUUGUUCCCAUUCAGUCAACAUCUGUUCAAAAGCUCCCAGAAAAAAUUAUUUCUCACACGACUUUUAAUUUAUUUCUCAAAGAACUGAAUUUCAUUAACCAAUGAGUGGCAACAAUUUAACAUCAGCUGGAAACU
rnacentral:lncRNA from 1 species